AUCCAGCUGACGAGUUUCAAAUAGGACGGAACGUGCUUUCUUGAU
rnacentral:hammerhead_ribozyme from 1 species